UGGGGAAUAUUGGACAAUGGACGGAAGUCUGAUCCAGCCAUCCCGCGUGCAGGAUGAAUGCCCUAUGGGUUGUAAACUGCUUUUGUACAGGAAGAAACGCCUGGAUUUAUCCGGGCCUGACGGUACUGUAAGAAUAAGCACCGGCUAACUCCGUGCCAGCAGCCGCGGUAAUACGGAGGGUGCAAGCGUUAUCCGGAAUCACUGGGUUUAAAGGGUGCGUAGGCGGCUUAGUAAGUCAGGAGUGAAAGCCUGCGGCUUAACCGUAGAAUUGCUUUUGAUACUGCUGAGCUUGAAUUAGGUUGAGGUUGGCGGAAUGUGACAUGUAGCGGUGAAAUGCAUAGAUAUGUCAUAGAACACCAAUUGCGAAGGCAGCUGACUAGACCUUAAUUGACGCUGAGGCACGAAAGCGUGGGGAGCGA
rnacentral:rRNA from 1 species